CGCGUAGGCGGUUCGGUAAGUCCUGUGUGAAAUCCCUCGGCUCAACUGAGGAACUGCACGGGAGACUGCCGGGCUUGAGUUCGGGAGAGGGAAGCGGAAUUCCGGGUGUAGCGGUGAAAUGCGUAGAUAUCCGGAGGAACACCGGUGGCGAAGGCGGCUUCCUGGACCGACACUGACGCUGAGGCGCGAAAGCUAGGGGAAGGCAAACG
rnacentral:rRNA from 1 species